UACGGGGGGGGCAAGCGUUGUUCGGAAUUACUGGGCGUAAAGGGCUCGUAGGUGGCCAACUAAGUCAGACGUGAAAUCCCUCAGCUUAACUGGGGAACUGCGUCUGAUACUGGAUGGCUUGAGUUUGGGAGAGGGAUGCGGAAUUCCAGGUGUAGCGGUGAAAUGCGUAGAUAUCUGGAGGAACACCGGUGGCGAAGGCGGCAUCCUGGACCAAUUCUGACGCUGAGGAGCGAAAGCUAGGGGAGCAAACGGG
rnacentral:rRNA from 1 species